rnacentral:misc_RNA from 1 species
GAAAUGCGAGAAGUAAUGUGAAUUGCAGAAUUCAGUGAAUCAUCGAAUCUUUGAACGCACAUUGCGCCCGCCAGCACUCUGGCGGGCAUGCCUGUUCGAGCGUCAUUUCAACCCUCAGAACCCCUUGCGGGAUCUGGCGUUGGGGAUUGGCAUCCAGCCAGCCCCGAAAUCUAGUGGCGGUCCCUCCGCGACCUCCCCUGUGCAGUAGCGAUACCUCGCAGCGGGACAGCGGUCUGACCACGCCGUAAAACCCCCAACUUCUCAAGGUUGACCUCGAAUCAGGUAGGAAUGCCCGCUGAACUUAAGC